UUUUUUUCUUACCCCUCAAGGAAAACCUACAUCUUUGAAAACUGCACAGCCGUCUUGGGUGAAUUUGCCUCGACCGCUUCCUAAGUCCAACGCGUCCUUGAAAAGCUCUGCGCUCCGGCGGACAGGCAGCCCCUCCUCCAUCGCCAGCACCCACAGUGACCUGAACGCUUACAGCAGUAAUUGUAAUUCAGGCUCAGAGAGGUUGUCGCCGGGCCAGGGGCACUCAGCCAGCAUGUGAACAGAAUUGAGGACGCGCUUGUGGAGGAUGUGGCAUUGAAUUAAUGAGCGCAUUUCCGAGAGCUCACUUAGCAGCAGGAGCUCGCCUGGUGUUAGGAAGGAGCGGGAUACCAGAACUCUAGGAACGCCGGAACAUGUUACUUACAAUAGAACGGGAUUCCUCUCUGCUUAUUGUCUGGACUUGACGUUGUAGCAUGAAAUCAGAGGGGCUCGCACGGAGCAGAGAAUUAGGCGUUUGGAAAGGUGAUUCGCACGUGUGUUAUGUCAAGGCCAUUGCACUUGCCACUUCCUCUGUGUGCAACGCGAAUGUUAACAAUCAGCAGCGUCAGCAGCGUGCUCUCGGGGGACCCGCGACGCCGGAAUCUGUGACACUGGAGGCAGACGCUCUGUAGUGUCACCACCCAGCCUUUCCCAUUGACAGCCAUGUUGACAUGGCCACCGGUUCCGUGGCGAGGCUGACACUCCUGAGGAGGGUGUACAAUGCUUUUGUCCUCUCCUUUUUGUCUUGUAACAAAGGGCUUUUCCCUCCACCCACCGAGCCUGCCGAGCGGCGAUGUGUCCCUGCUGCAGAGUAAGCGUCCAGAUCAGUGAGUCUCUCUCUCAGUGGGAUUUGCUGGCUGGUCUGAUCUGUUCUGUGCAGUGCCCUGGAGCUUACAGAUACCGCCCCCCGAUUCCAAUUCACUGAGAGCAAGCGUGAAGGAUAUGGGAGCGAACAUGGCUGCAGCUUUUCCUGCCUGAGCUUGCUCUGACCCAUUUAAAUGACUGUACCAGGAGGAUUUCGCAGUUGCACAGAAACGGAUAUCUCUUCCAACAUCUUUAUCAACUCGACACUCACCCCGCCGGCCGGCUCAGAGAGGCACUACGAUGCUACUCUACUGACACUGCUGGUGCUGGGAUCCUACAGCCUUUGUGUGGCUCCUUUGUUAGCCUCGCUCACUGGGAACAGAAGUACGUCGGUGAUUUCUGGUUUGAUUCUUCUCUUUGUAAGCAUGCUCUCAGUUUUAUUCAGUACAUCGAUCUAGCACCUUUUGCUGUUUUUGUAACUUGGAAUGUAUCUUAGUUGCAGUGUUUCUCGGACAUAUUUUAAGUUGUCAUUGAUUCCGUCCAGAACCAAUUUUAUUGUAUAUUGUGUGUGUUUCCGAACUCCAUAUAAAUCAGCAGCACCGUCGAUGUUCUUGGCACAUGGAAUUACUUCAUUUUCAAAGGUUAUCUGAUGGUCUCCUUUCCAGUUAAAUAGCUAGCGGGUUUUGUGUGUGUAGCUGAUAGUUGUUUGAGUAUAAAAAUAUUUUUGUACAAUUAAAAUGAAAACACAU